UACGGAGGAUCCGAGCGUUAUCCGGACUUAUUGGGUUUAAAGGGAGCGUAGGUGGAUUGUUAAGUCAGUUGUGAAAGUUUGCGGCUCAACCGUAAAAUUGCAGUUGAAACUGGCAGUCUUGAGUACAGUAGAGGUGGGCGGAAUUCGUGGUGUAGCGGUGAAAUGCUUAGAUAUCACGAAGAACUCCGAUUGCGAAGGCAGCUCACUGGACUGCAACUGACACUGAGGCUCGAAAGUGUGGGUAUCAAACAGG
rnacentral:rRNA from 1 species